GCUCCGGUGGUCCAGUGGUUAGAACAUCCGCCACCGAUGCGGGAGGUCGAGGGUUAGAACCCCUACCGAGUCA